GGGUGCGAUUAUAAGCAUAAUUGCAUCGCCUCAGAACUCGGGUCGAGAGUAGUACUAGGAUGGGUGACCUCCUGGGAAGUCCUCGUGUUGCACCCC
rnacentral:rRNA from 1 species